AAAAAAUUGGUUUUGAUAUAUUUACAGUAGAAAAUUUACUAAAUAUCUUCAUGGACCAUGAUCUUUACUUAAUAUCCUAAUGAUUUUUAUAAUAUACCUGUGCUACUUAUGACUGGUUUUGUGGUCCAGGGUCACAAACUUGCCAAUUCAAGUCUCCUAUACCUCCACUAAUCGAGGAUGAAUAUAUCAACUAUAGGCAUACACCAGUCCUACACUUGAAAUGAAGGAAACAACAUGUCUGUGUGUGAUUUUGAGUGUAUACCUACAUGUGACCACAGACGGCUAUUCUACUGAACACUACUGAUGCAUUCUACACAUUUCACUUUUUUUCCUUUUCUUAAAUAUUUUUGUUAAUUUAUGAAUCAGAAUGUGUCUGUCUCCCUCGACGAAAAACAACAACAACAACAGCAAAACAAACAAAGGUAGCAUCUGUUACCAAAACCCUUAAGACUGUACUUAGCGUGCAGCAUCUUUUUAUGUACUAAAUAUGUAAACAUUUUUGUUUUCAAGUGCCAUAGCUAGUGUGAAGUGAAGCUGAAUGGCAUUACGGGGUAGAUGCUUUACUGUAUAAGUUGUUUACUUGAGAAGCAAUCAAAAAGUGGAAUUCAGAUGCAAGUGUGAAUAUUCAAACAACCAACUGUUUGUUGUUCAUGGAGAACGGGCUCUGAUUGACAGAACUUUAGCGCAUGUCCACAAUACAAGUAAAGCACAUGUAGCAAGGGAGGGUGGGGGCUUCUGUUAACUUGCCAACAGUCUGAGUGUGUGUAUGUGUGUUGUAUGUGCUGUGUAUGUGAGUUGGGCUUUAAGACAGUAUAAGUGAAUGGUGAAUAGCACUUUGUGUGAUGGACUGAAUAUGUGCGCAUGUGCUUGUUUGAGUCGGGGAGGGGUUGAGUUUGAUGUGCGAGCAUUGUGAAAUGGACAUGUAAAGGUACUGAUUAAUCGAGACCUUAAAGUGUCUCCUCCAUGUUGUAUAUACUAAGCGAAGGACUUAAGUGAUUUUUGUUAAAUUCUAUAUUUUAUGGCUUUUGUAGACAUUUCUUUGUGGGAUAAAAAAAAAUAAAGAAAAUUUUAU
ensembl:lncRNA